AGCUUUCUGUAUCCAUGCUGAGAUUUCGUCAGAGAUCAACCCGUUGGGGAUGAUGGUACUUCCCAAGCAAGUGAAGCU
rnacentral:pre_miRNA from 1 species